UACGUAGGGGGCAAGCGUUAUCCGGAAUUACUGGGUGUAAAGGGUGAGUAGGCGGCAUGGUAAGCCAGAUGUGAAAGCCUUGGGCUUAACCCGAGGAUUGCAUUUGGAACUAUCAAGCUAGAGUACAGGAGAGGAAAGCGGAAUUCCUAGUGUAGCGGUGAAAUGCGUAGAUAUUAGGGAGAACACCAGUGGCGAAGGCGGCUUUCUGGACUGAAACUGACGCUGAGGCACGAAAGCGUGGGGAGCGAACAGG
rnacentral:rRNA from 1 species